UACAGAGGGUGCAAGCGUUGUUCGGAAUUACUGGGCGUAAAGCGCGUGUAGGCGGCUUUUUAAGUCGGACGUGAAAUCCCUGGGCUUAACCCAGGAACUGCGUCCGAUACUAUCAGGCUAGAGUGUCGGAGGGGGUGGCGGAAUUCCCGGUGUAGAGGUGAAAUUCGUAGAUAUCGGGAGGAACACCUGUGGCGAAGGCGGCCACCUGGAAGACAACUGACGCUGAGACGCGAAAGCGUGGGGAGCAAACAGG
rnacentral:rRNA from 1 species